CGCACUAAAUAUCACGUCAGCAUUUUUUUUAAUAAGUAAUAAAGGAACCACAAAAAAAACGUUUUAACGUAUAUUUUAGAAAUAAAUUUAUCGGUUUUAUUAAAGGUGAUUUUAUAAAUUUUAGCACUAUGUCUGAGCGCGUAAAAAGAUAUCGAGUAAUAAAGGAAGUGAUGAACAAUAAAAAACUACAAAACAACAUAUUUCUUAAGUUGAGUAGUAGUGCGUGUGUGUGAACACGUGAGCCUGUUUAUAAAGUACUACGCAUAACCUCAAAAUUCUAAUUUAACAUUUUUUUUAUUUAUUCAAAGUGUUCGUGUGUCGAUGUAACUUGUUGCUAAUAAUUAACGGCUAAAUAAUUAGCUAGUAAUAAUAAAUAAUUUCGAUGGCAAAGAAAAAAUAAAUAAAUAGAUAAAUCACUGAUAAUUAUUAAAAAAUAAAUAAACGGCGCAAUAAAAUUACAAAAAUAAUUUCCAGACAUAAUAUGGCUGAUGGUGAUAAUGGAAGCAAUGAACUAAGGAAAUAUGCCGUGGUUUGUUUUUUACCGAGUAGGAAUGAUGGUCUAGAUGAAAUAAAUUUGGUGCCGUAUUCUUGGCUCGAUGACAAACUUAUGUGUGCUUAUCAUUAAUUUUGGUUCGACCAACGGGUUCAAUUGCUUAAGAGAGGUCGUUCACGAAAAAUUUGGAGACUCUGAACAAAGUAAGACUUUAUCAACUAGACUUAGUACCUUCUUGGCAAACGCAGGUGAUAGAAAUGGAAGUCGGGCGCAACGCACAAAAAAUUAAUUUAAGAUAACGUUUAUUUAAAUCAUUAGCACUUACUACUCUAUUACUUCUAAUUAUGAUUAUUUCAUACUAUUAUUAUACUAUUAUAAUAAUUAAUAUUAGGUAAUAUUACUACUUAUAACUAUUAUUAUGUACUCUUUACUAUUACUUAUUGUUGUGUUGCAAUAUUAUUUUUAAUUAUUGUAUUCUUAUAACUUUAAACUAUGAAUAUUAUAAUCUUAUAAUACCAAUUAUUUCACAUUUAAAAUAAUCAAUAAAACU